rnacentral:rRNA from 1 species
UACGAAGGGGGGCUAGCGUUGUUCGGAAUCACUGGGCGUAAAGCGCAUGCAGGCGGAUUGUUAAGUCGGGGGGUGAAAUCCCGAGGCUCAACCUCGGAACUGCCUUCGAUACUGGCAAUCUUGAGUCCGGGAGAGGUGAGUGGAACUGCGAGUGUAGAGGUGAAAUUCGUAGAUAUUAGGAAGAACACCAGUGGCGAAGGCGGCUCACUGGUCCGGUACUGACGCUGAGGUGCGAAAGGCGUGGGGAGCAAACAGG